GUAGGUGGCAAGCGUUGUCCGGAAUUAUUGGGGCGUAUAGCGCGCGCAGGCGGUUCUCUAAGUCUGAUGUGAAAGCCCACGGGCUCAACCGUGGGAGGGUCAUUGGAAACUGGAGAACUUGAGUACAGAAGAGGAAAGCGGAAUUCCACGUGUAGCGGUGAAAUGCGUAGAGAUGUGGAGGAACGCCAGUGGCGAAGGCGGCUUUCUGGUCUGUAACUGACGCUGAGGCGCGAAAGCGUGGGGAGCAAACAGGAUUAGAUACCCUGGUAGUCCACGCCGUAAACGAUGAGUGCUAAGUGUUAGGGGGUUUCCGCCCCUCAGUGCUGCAGCUAACGCAUUAAGCACUCCGCCUGGGGAGUACGGCCGCAAAGGCUGA
rnacentral:rRNA from 1 species